UACGAAGGGGGGCUAGCGUUGUUCGGAAUUACUGGGCGUAAAGGGCGUGUAGGCGGUUUGUUAAGUCAUGUGUGAAAUCCCUCGGCUCAACCGGGGAACGACGCAUGAAACUGACAAGCUAGAGUACCAAAGAGGGGGGUGGAAUUCCCGGUGUAGCGGUGAAAUGCGCAGAUAUCAGGAGGAACACCGGUGGCGAAGGCGGAUCUCUGGGCCAUUACUGACGCUGAGGAGCGAAAGCGUGGGGAGCGAACAGG
rnacentral:rRNA from 1 species